rnacentral:rRNA from 1 species
UACGAAGGGGGCUAGCGUUGCUCGGAAUUACUGGGCGUAAAGGGCGCGUAGGCGGACAGUUUAGUCAGAGGUGAAAGCCCAGGGCUCAACCCUGGAAUUGCCUUUGAUACUGACUGUCUUGAGUCCGGGAGAGGUGAGUGGAACUGCGAGUGUAGAGGUGAAAUUCGUAGAUAUUCGCAAGAACACCAGUGGCGAAGGCGGCUCACUGGCCCCGGUACUGACGCUGAGGUGCGAAAGCGUGGGGAGCAAACAGG